AGCACAGUUCUAGAUGCAGCCCUUUACACGUGUUUCUGGUAUUUACCUUCUUUCAUCAAACAUUUCUUUAGAAUUGACUCAAGGCAAGAUAUGGUAGAGAAAUGGAAGAAUCAAUUAGAGGAGGUGUUCAACUAGUAGAUGCAUCUUCUCCAGCAAGGCCUUCGAUAUCACUUCCAGUAGUAAUUGACAGCCAAGAAAGCAGGCUAUGCCUCACCUACUCCUUCCUGGGCUAAAGAUCUCAGACUUAGUUGCUCACCCUUAAUUUGGAAAAAAUAAAUUAAAGAAUUCUUCUAUCAUUAAAC